rnacentral:snoRNA from 1 species
AAGACUAUAUUUUCAGAGAUAAUUUUUAUAGUUCUCUACUUGGAAAUGUGUUUUGAAAGUGUUUGCCUCCCAACCCAUGAUGAGGAGCUGUGAUGCUUUUUUCUGAGAGUGAAUCAAAGAUAGAGCUGUGAUUUUGGUUGCAAACUCUGUCACUGAUGAGUGUUCUCUAUUGCUUUUGGCAAUAUUGAUGAAAGGGGUAUGAUCUGAGUGGU